rnacentral:misc_RNA from 1 species
CGUACAGUAGCCGCGACAACUCAAACGCGCUUCGGCAAGCGCUAGCAUUCGCACGUGGGCCUUCGUUGGCAUCGGUUGUGUCUUACGCGCGGUUUGCGGUUCGCAAGAAAGAGGCGCCGUUUAGCACGUGGUGACUCGCAUUUCUAAUUCUUAUUUCACGAAAUACUGACCACCGUGCCGAUAGCAUUCACGUGUAUUUUUUUUUCUAAUCGAAUCUAGCAAUUGUUUUUCGAAAGUGCAUCGUGCUCUCUGCGUAUCCUGUAGAAGAUUCCUAUCAAUUUUGAUGUGUAAUACUGAUUGUGUACCAACAUUGGGAUUAUCACGAUAGCAGUUUUACUCUAACAAAAGGACAAGCGUGGUGCGUCGAAAAGAAACAUUAGGAAGCAUUUUGUGUCUAGAUGCUGCACAGCUUGUGGCGUGAUUAACGUUGACCAAGUACCAAAGAAAGUGUCAAGAUUGAGCAAGUCGUUCCGUCCGGCGGUGAUCUCGCCAAAAUUUGGAGGAUGCUAAUGCCCGGUGCUGCGGGUCUCGGUGUAGGCGCAAUCGGUGCCGUCGGUGCCCCAGCGCCCGAUGAGCUGGUCCAAGGAUUGGGAGCCCUAGCCGGCACUACGCCGCAGCAAAAAGACACGACAUGGACGAAGCUAUUCGUCGGUGGCCUGCCCUAUCACACUACCGAUAAGAGCCUCAGGGAACACUUUAACGUUUACGGAGAUAUUGAGGAGGCGGUCGUUAUCACGGACAGACAGACCGGAAAAAGCAGGGGUUAUGGCUUUGUGAUUAUGGGAGAUAAACCGGCGGCGGAAAGAGCAUGCAAGGAUCCCAAUCCAAUCAUCGACGGUCGCAAAGCAAACGUCAAUCUUGCUAUUCUCGGAGCUAAACCAAGAGGCAAUUUGCAAACGACAUUCCCGUUUGCUGGUAUCCGAGCUGGUUAUCCAACAGUUCUUCCUGGACAAUAUGGGGUACCACCGGGCUACGUGUACCAAUCGCCCUACCUGGCGGCUGCCGCGCCAGGUGGUUUAGUGCCGCUUCCGGCGACGCAGUUGGGCCACGCAGCCGCUGUCGCCGCGGCAUCGCAGUUCUACGAGUAUCAGAAUGCAGCGGCGGCCGCCGCCGCCACUUAUCCGGGAACGUCCUACAACUUCGCCGAGGCGUAUCCGUACACCACCGCGGCUGCGGCCGGUACGUGUUUGAAUAACGUUCCGAGCAAGGGUAGCAACUAUCCGAUACAACACCAUCACCAACAGCAACAGCAGCAGCAGCAAAACGGUGCCGCGACGCAAUUGGCGCAACAGCAGCGGCUGGAGAAAGCUCUCCUGCCGCAAUUUCUGCCGUCUGUGCUGCGUGACUACGCUAAUGCAGCGGCAGCGGGCUACGUCGCGCCGUAUACCUACGCUACAUUGCCAGGUGCUGCGAGUUUACCUGCAGCGGCAGCCGCAGCGGCAACGGCAGCUGGGGCGUUUCAAGCCUUGCCGUAUCAAACGACACCUCAAGAGGCCAGAUUGCAAUAAAGCUUCGGCAUUAGACCAUCACUCAUUAGAGACGGUUGCAACCGAGCCUUCUAAAAAUGGGCGCAGAACUCGGAUACUCAAAGCUACGACCGCGUCUUUGACGAAGUCAGUCGAAUGCGCUAAAAAUACCGACGAAGAUUAAUGCGAGAGCUCCGUAGCAUUUCGAGACCAUCAACAUGUUUCAGAGAUGCGCGGUUUUCAGAGAGAGCAUGUUUUAAAUUUUAGAUAAACUUUUUUUCGAGUAAAUUUUCUAAAAAUUUAAUGAUAAAUAGAUUUUUCAUUUUACAAGAUGUUAACAAGUUACAUUUUCAGGCGUUUUUUAAAGAUGAAAUGUAUUAACAAAGAAAAACUGACAACCUGUUAAGACGCCGCGGUUUUACAAUCUGUUCUCUUUGAAAAUAUCUGCGUUUAAUCUAUAAUAGAUCAAUUUUAGAAUAACACUUAGGAUAGCAUUCAUAGUCAUUUUUAAAUAAGAAUUCCUUAUUUUUCAAGAAACAAUCAUAAAUAUUACCAAUAGAUUAAUCUAUACAUACAACACAGCGUGGCUAAAAAGUUCCAGGAUAAAGAUUGUCAAAAAUUUAAACAAUUAUUUCUUAUUCAUAUUCGAUAUUUCUCUUCAUAUUCGACAAUUUCUACGACGUUCAACAAACAUUCGACAAGACAAAAUGCCUAGAAAAUGUUUUUAAAAAUCUUUUUUUAAUGUUUUCUUAAAUUUAUUACUUUUUUGAAUAUCAUUGGAUUUGGUUCUAAAAAUUAUUUUUGAAAAUUAAAUUACGUCUAUAUAAAAGCGAUUUGAGAAUGUUGAGAAUGUUCAAAUAAUGUAACUGAAGAAUUAAAAAAGAUAUCAAAAGAUUUCCAAGACGUUUUCUAGUCUUUGUCUUGCCGAAUGUGUUGAACGUUAUUGGAAUUAAAACAUCAAAAGCAAUAAAAUCUUAUUUUAAACUUUAAAAUCCUCUAUUUAAUUCAAUUUCGAAACUUUUUAGCCAUACUAUGUGUAUUAUAAUAAUAAGCUAUAUCUUCCAAAGCACUUAUACACCGAAAUCUUAAUUUAUGCGCACUGUUCGUUUCGGCUCUCUGUUAUCUAUCAGAAUAUGUGUGAUUUUACUUUUACACGUAAAAAUAUAUCGAUAUUUAUUACAGAUUAAAUAUUACGCAAAGUACUAGUUGAAAUAUUAGCUGAGUUAUCAGAAUUGGAUCACAAAUGUAAUUUUUUGAAAAAGGUUCGAAACAUAUAUGACUAUCGAAAAUAUCUAAUCUAAACACAGUGGCCUUAAAAUCGCACAUCAGCGAAACGACGAAGUGUCUUACUUUUGAGGCCUUGUUAUGUUAAUUGAUCAAUCAAUUAUAUUACACAAAGUAAAACAUCGAUCAAUUUAGUAGCGAUGCGAAUCUACCGAAGUGUCAUGAAUCGAAUUGAUCGACAAGUCGUUUUUACUGCUACAGUUACCGAACUCAACGCUCUUUUUAAUAACGUAUUAAUUUUUUCAACGAUUAGUGACUUUGAUGAGGUUGUUUGUACACGUUUCAAAUAUCGAUUACUGCGAAUGAUCAUUUUCUGAUGAACAUUUGAUCUAAUACAGAGCUGCACAGCUGGCUCGUGAUGUGCAUCGCGACGAUAGCGCAUCCGGCGAGUUGCGCAGCUCCGAUCUAACAGACUUUUCUUAAACUCGACAAAUAUACAUUCGUCUACUCUUAGUGAUUCAGUGCCUUAAUUAGCACAGUCGAGUAGUCGUAAUGAUUAGAAACUAGUCAGAUUCGUUAGUGCUACGCUCGACGCGCUAACCCGUGUAAAGGAGUGAGGCUCAACGAAAGGGUGAGGAGCUAAAGAAAUAUCAAAACUAGAAUCAACUAGGAUCGGGUUAUGAGGAACGUGGUUGUCUAGUCCCAAACCCUUUCGAACCUUCGACGAAGGUAACUCGAUUUGUUAGAUUUGUAAGUAGAGAUUAACACGUAUGGAGAAAACCAAAAGCAAAACUCUGUGUAAAAAGUUAGAAAGACGAGAAGUUUUAGGAGAACCUAGCGUUAAGUAUUAUUACAUAACAUAAUAGGAAAAUAAAUUAUUAUUAUUGUAUUAUUAUUAUAUAUUAUUACCUUAUUAUUACUUUAUUAUUGACACAUUAUCACGUUUCAUUAUUAUUAUUAUUAUUAAUAUUAUUAUUAUCAUUAUUAAUUAUAUGCAUUAUUGUUCAUGUACUUAAUGAAGGAACGGAAUGUAUACGUCAUUGAGAAACUUGUUAAAAAAAAAUACGCUAAAGCUUCCGUUAAUGAAAAAGACGGUGCAGAAAAUUUGCAACGAAAACGCAAAUGUACUCUUGUCACGAGUACGAUCGUCUUUUUAAAUAUCCUAUACUCUUAGGAUUAAUUGUAUAUAGGCUUAAUUAUAAAUAGGUUGUAAUAUAUAUUGCCUGUUAUUCUCAAUAAUAUUAAUAUACGCUCUAUUAAUAGAUUCACGGAAACCGAAAACAAAUAUAUUGUCAUUAAGAGAAAAAUUCUACAUGUGUAUU